UACGGGAGGCAGCAGGGGGAAUAUUGCACAAUGGGCGAAAGCCUGAUGCAGCUAUGCCGCGUGUAUGAAGAAGGCCUUAGGGUUGUAAAGUACUUUCAUCGGGGAGGAAAAAACAAAACUAAUAAUUUUAUUUCUUGACGUUACCCGAAAAAGAAGCACCGGCUAACUCCGUGCCAGCAGCCGCGGUAAUACGGAGGGUGCUAGCGUUAAUCAGAAUUACUGGGCGUAAAGAGCACGUAGGUGGUUUUUUUAAAGUCAGAUGUGAAAUCCCUGGGCUUUAACCUAGGAACUGCAUUUUGAAACUGAAAUACUAGAGUAUCGUAGAGGGAGGUAGAAUUCUAGGUGUAGCGGUGAAAUGCGUAGAUAUCUGGAGGAAUACCUGUGGCGAAAGCGGCCUCCUAAACGAAUACUGACACUGAGGGUGCGAAAAGCGUGGGGAGCAAACAGGGAUUAGAUACC
rnacentral:rRNA from 1 species